GCCUUCGUAGUGUAAUGGCCAGCACACUUGGUUCGUAUUUGAGAGGUCCUAAGUUCGAGUCCCGGUGAAGGCA
rfam:Stegodyphus mimosarum contig49906, whole genome shotgun sequence.